rnacentral:rRNA from 1 species
AUUGAACGCUGGCGGUAGGCCUAACACAUGCAAGUCGAACGGCAGCACAGUAAGAGCUUGCUCUUACGGGUGGCGAGUGGCGGACGGGUGAGGAAUACAUCGGAAUCUACUUUUUCGUGGGUGAGAACGUAGGGAAACUUACGCUAAUACCGCAUACGACCUACGGGUGAAAGCAGGGGAUCUUCGGACCUUGCGCGAUUGAAUGAGCCGAUGUCGGAUUAGCUAGUUGGCGGGGUAAAGGCCCACCAAGGCGACGAUCCGUAGCUGGUCUGAGAGGAUGAUCAGCCACACUGGAACUGAGACACGGUCCAGACUCCUACGGGAGGCAGCAGUGGGGAAUAUUGGACAAUGGGCGAAAGCCUGAUCCAGCCAUACCGCGUGGGUGAAGAAGGCCUUCGGGUUGUAAAGCCCUUUUGUUGGGAAAGAAAAGCAGCAGGUUAAUACCCCGCUGUCCUGACGGUACCAAAAGAAUAAGCACCGGCUAACUUCGUG